rnacentral:rRNA from 1 species
AUUGAACGCUGGCGGCAUGCUUUACACAUGCAAGUCGAACGGUAACGGGGUGCUUGCACCGCUGACGAGUGGCGAACGGGUGAGUAAUGCGUCGGAACGUGCCGAGUAGUGGGGGAUAACGCAGCGAAAGUUGUGCUAAUACCGCAUACGUACUGAGGUAGAAAGUGGGGGACCUUCGGGCCUCACGCUAUUCGAGCGGCCGACGUCUGAUUAGCUAGUAGGUGAGGUAAAGGCUCACCUAGGCGACGAUCAGUAGCGGGUCUGAGAGGAUGAUCCGCCACACUGGGACUGAGACACGGCCCAGACUCCUACGGGAGGCAGCAGUGGGGAAUUUUGGACAAUGGGCGAAAGCCUGAUCCAGCCAUGCCGCGUGUCUGAAGAAGGCCUUCGGGUUGUAAAGGACUUUUGUCGGGGAGGAAAUCCCCAGCGCUAAUACCGCUGGGGGAUGACAGUACCUGAAGAAUAAGCACCGGCUAACUACGUGCCAGCAGCCGCAGUAACAC